UGGGGAAUAUUGCACAAUGGGGGGAACCCUGAUGCAGCGACGCCGCGUGAGUGAAGAAGCAUUUCGGUGCGUAAAGCUCUGUCAGCAGGAACGAAGAAAGACGGUACCUGACCAAGAAGCCCCGGCUAACUACGUGCCAGCAGCCGCGGUAAUACGUAGGGGGCAAGCGUUAUCCGGAUUUACUGGGUGUAAAGGGAGCGUAGACGGCAGGGCAAGUCUGGAGUGAAAGGCCGGGGCCCAACCCCGGGACUGCUCUGGAAACUGUCCGGCUGGAGUACAGGAGAGGUAAGCGGAAUUCCUAGUGUAGCGGUGAAAUGCGUAGAUAUUAGGAGGAACACCGGCGGCGAAGGCGGCUUACUGGACUGUAACUGACGUUGAGGCUCGAAAGCGUGGGGAGCAAACAGG
rnacentral:rRNA from 1 species